rnacentral:rRNA from 1 species
GAUGAACGCUAGCGGCAGGCCUAAUACAUGCAAGUCGAACGAGAUUGAGGAGCUUGCUCCUCAUGAGAGUGGCGCACGGGUGCGUAACGCGUACGCAAUCUACCUUAAUCAGGGGGAUAGCCCGGAGAAAUCCGGAUUAAUACCGCAUAACGUUAUUUUAUGGCAUCAUAGAAUAACCAAACAUUUAUGGGAUUAAGAUGAGCAUGCGUGACAUUAGUUAGUUGGUGAGGUAACGGCUCACCAAGACUACGAUGUCUAGGGGAUCUGAGAGGAUGACCCCCCACACUGGUACUGAGACACGGACCAGACUCCUACGGGAGGCAGCAGUAAGGAAUAUUGGUCAAUGGGCGCAAGCCUGAACCAGCCAUGCCGCGUGCAGGAAGACGGCCCUAUGGGUUGUAAACUGCUUUUAUUCGGGAAUAAACCUCUUUACGUGUAAGGAGCUGAAUGUACCGAGGGAAUAAGGAUCGGCUAACUCCGUGCCAGC